UUCAAAGUAGAAGAAAAAUGAACAGUCGAGGACACGCCUCGACUGUGCAUUUUUCUUCUACUUUGAA
rnacentral:pre_miRNA from 1 species